GAGUUUGAUUCUGGCUCAGGAUAAACGCUGGCGGCGUGCCUAACCCAUGCAAGUCGAACGGCCUCGCAAGAGGCAGUGGCGGACGGGUGAGUAACACGUAGAAAUCUGCCUCGCCGGAGGGAAUAACUCCUCGAAAGAAGAGCUAAUACCCAAAAGGAUCCGCAAGGAUCAGAGUCCGCAAGGGCCUGGCGAGAGGAGUCUGCGGCCCAUCAGCUAGUUGGUGGGGUAACGGCCUACCAAGGCUACGACGGGUAGGGGGUCUGAGAGGAUGUCCCCCCACACUGGAACUGAAACACGGUCCAGACACCUACGGGUGGCAGCAGGGAGGAAUAUUGGACAAUGGGGGAAACCCUGAUCCAGCAACGCCGCGUGAGGGAUGAAGGCCUUCGGGCUGUAAACCUCUUUUCAAGGAGAAGAGUAAGGACGGUAUCCUUGGAAUAAGUCACGGCUAACUACGUGCCAGCAGCCGCGGUAAUACGUAGGUGGCGAGCGUUAUCCGGAUUUACUGGGCGUAAAGCGCUUGCAGGCGGCUUUGUAAGUUGGGCGUGAAAGCUCCGGGCUUAACCCGG
rnacentral:rRNA from 1 species